CUAGCCGCUUCCGGUGAGGACACUAUACUGCCGAUUCGAGGUCGUCGCAGGGGCAGACUUGGCGUGGCCAGAAAUAAUUUCUCUUUCCCGUGGCCGCUGGAGCCGUACCUGAAGGCGGCUAUGGGCGCACUGAACCCAAGACGGUGGAUGAGAGCAAGGCUAAGGGACCCGGAAGGUUUGUGGCUUCCGCCCCACAGAGGGCUCCGCACCGAUUACGUCACUUCCGUAAACAAAGGGCGCUGCGGAGGCGCGGGUCCCAAGCUGGUGACCGGACUCUUGCUGCAGCUGUAGCAGAGGCUUUGGACGCUCUCUGACCUUUUCCAGUUGAGGGAAAGGACAUAGCCUCUUCCUACGGUCUUAUGAAGCUGCUGUUGAUGCAACAAAGAACUUGAAGCAAUGGAAGAGCGGAAAGCGAAGAGGAAGAGUCCCAAGUCUUUCAGUGCCCACUCUACUCAGGUUGUCAAUGCCAAAAAAAAUGCCAUCCCAGCUAGUAAGAGCACAGGCUUUUCAAAUCCCACGGCACAGUCAACGUCCCAGCGGCCAAAGUUAAAGAGAGCGGUGAAAGAAAAGAACAAGCCUCCGGGAGGAGAAGGGAAGGGGGCCCAGUCCACCCCCAUCCAGCACUCCUUCCUCACAGACGUCUCCGAUGUCCAGGAGAUGGAGCGCGGGCUCCUCAGUCUGCUAAAUGAUUUCCACUCGGGGAAGCUGCAGGCGUUUGGAAAUGAAUGUUCCAUAGAACAGAUGGAACAUGUCCGGGGAAUGCAGGAGAAAUUAGCUCGCUUGAAUUUGGAGCUCUACGGGGAGUUAGAGGAACUUCCUGAGGAUAAGCGGAAAGCCGCCAGUGACGCCAACUUGGACAGGCUUCUGUCGGACGGAGCUGAAAAGCUGACUCAGCGACUAAAAGUACUCGCUGCUCUUGCAGAGGACCGAGAUUCUGUUCCCAGCACCCACAUGGCGGCCCUCAACCGUCUCUAGCUCCAGUUCCGGGGAUCUGAAGUCCUCUUCUGGCCUCUGAGGGCACCAGGCACACAAGUGGUGCACAUGCUAACAUGUGGGCAAAACACUCAUACCCGUUAAAUAAAAAUAAAUAAAUCUUUAAAACCUUCUUUAGGCAGCUAGGAAGAUGGCCCAGUCAGCAAAGAUCUUGCUACACCAGCGUGAGGGCCUGAGUUCUUGCCGAAUUUGUGAGCUCCAGGCUUGGUGAGAGAUACUCUCUGAUAAAAGUAAGGUGGGGGACAGUUGAGGAAGACACGAAACAUUGACCUUUGGCUUCCGUAUGUGCAGACUGCACACACAGGAACUUAGGAAUCCACAAAACCUUUUUAGAAGAAAGGGAAAUAAAUAAAAACUGACUUCAACGUAGCUUAUCUUCAUUUUCAGCAGUGGCAAGAGUUUGUUUCUGCUGCUUUUCUUUUCUUUUUUUGAAUAAGUUUGAGGCAGUUGUCCAAACAGGGUUUCUGUGUAGCUCUGGCUGUCUUGGAACUCAUUUUGUAGACCAGGUGGCCUCAAACUCAGAGAUCCAUUUCCUCUGCCUCCCAAGUGCUGGGAUUAAAGGCAUACUUUUGAAAGGUUUAAACCUAGAAGAUUAACAGUGCCUGUUUGCAAUCCCAGCACUUGGGAAGUGGAUGCAGAAGGAACAGGAGUUCAAGUUCAAAGUCAGCCUCUCAAAAACAAACAAAAAUCCCUUCCAGCCUAUAUUUUAAAGGCCAGAUCUGCCCUAUAAUAUUUAGUGUCACAAGUAUCUCAGUUCAUAUAUGCUUUAUUUCUAUUAAAUAUAAGCUUGGUUUGUGUACUUUUAGUGCACUUAGGAAAAUACUGCAUUUUGGCAAAAGGAAUACUAACUUUGAAACCAGGAGGCCUAGUGCAGGGCUUCACCGUGUUGCUCUUGGUGACGGUGAAGUCUCGUUAGCCUACCUGCCUACCUUCCUUUAUUUUUAAACUGUUUUGAGGUGCUGGAGAUGAAGCCUAGGGUGCCAUGGAUGCAAGUCAAGCAUGCCACCACUAAGCUACAGCCUCAAACCGCAUUUCUAUACUUUAUAUUUCUCCUUCUAAAAUUAAAGAUACUGUAGUCUGGAUGCCUGUAUCUUUCUAGAACUCAUACUUUUAAGUCCUCACCCUGGGGCAACAAAAGACAGGCCUUUGUAAGGCCAUUAGGUCGGGAGUGAGAUUAGUAUCCGAGGAAAAGAGGCAGAAAAGGGAUGCUCCACUGCUUCCGUUUUGUGAGGACAUUGUACAAGGCCACACUAGGGCUUCAUUGGCUUCUUAAUUGCACGUGGCUGGUCUCUAGAGCCAUCAGAAGUGAGUUUCUUUUUUUUCUACAAAAUGCCAAUUUAAUGAUUUUUUAAUAGACGUCCAAACAGACUAAGGGGUGAUAAAUUCUACUUUAUAGUAAGAAUUGAAAUAUUUGUAAGUAUUUUUAUAAAUAAUAAAGGUUUCAAAGAUUAUGAUUACAGAAAUGGCAAUUAAAAAAAAAACUUCUUUAAAAGCUAGGCAAGGGGUCAGCAAGAUGUCUGAGGAGGGAAAAGUGCUUGCAGUGUGAGCCUGGUGAAAUCGGUACCUGCGUUCACUUCCUAGAACUCAUGUAAGAGCCGAGGGUGAGAAGCAGCUCCAUUCACAUGUGUGCUGCCUUCACACGCAAACAACAUAGCACACACAAUAAUGAUACGAUUUCUCUUAAGAGAACAAGUGGUUAUACAUCUGUGAUCUUAGCAUUCUGCAGUUCAAGACCAGCCUGACCAUAUAUGGAGACUUACAUUUUUUUCCUUCUGUUUUUUGUUUGUUUGUUUUUGAUUUUUCAAAACAGUUUUCUCUGUGUAGCCCUGGCUGUCCUGGAACUUGCUCUAUAGACUAGGGCUGGCCUCAAAUUCAGAGAUCCACCUGCCUAUGCUGAGAUUAAAGAUGUAUGCUACCACUGCCUAGUGAGACUCUCUUUCAAAAAGAAAUACAAACACAGUAACAAUUACUGCCAUUAUACAUGAUUCUAGGAAUGCUUCCAAAGCUCUAGUCUUUAGCAUUUGCUUCUGUUCUUGCUUCAGGGUCUUUAAUCUAAGCUGCAGCUACUUGAUAGUUAUUUUGUGCAAAGGAAUUCCUAGCCUACAAAGCUUUUUGAGAACUUUUUAAAUAGUUUCUUUUUUCAGUUAACACCAACAUGAAGAUAUUUUAAAACAUGGUUUAUAGUGACUUAUUAAUAUUUAUCUUGUAAAAAUUAAUAUUCAAUUUGUUUCUUUGUGUUGCAGUUAGAAGAAUUGAAUUCUUCUAUACAGAAGCUGCAUUUGGCAGACGCACAGGAUGUCCCCAAUCCGUCCACCGGCUAAGGCGGUGUGCAGCCUGCUCGGGGGGUUUGCAGAGAAGCAGCCGUUGCUGCUUUCGCCGAGUCCAGUAGCAGAAUCAUCCGCACAACACAAUUCAAGUGAUGGAGUGCAAGUGCCGCGAUUGUGCUCUCCCGGCUUCUAGUCCAUGUGCUCGCUGUCAUUCACCGCUGGGGGGCGUGGCCCGGCUGCAGGGCCCUUGAGGAGUGGGAUGCUGGGCUGGGCUGCUGUGCUUUCUUCUGUUGCCUUAAGGGUUAUACUUGAAAUGCAUUGUGCUAAACAUUCGGUCGGGCUGAAGGAAUUGUCCUUCCUGUGGCCACCACACUGACCCAGCUCUGGUCACACGGUGGUGGUGCACAGGCCUCCUGCGGCAGCCCAGCUUCAGUUUACGUCAGACAAUCAGUACACAUGCAGGUAUGUUCCUUAAUGGCCAGUGACAAAUGUUUAAUAAGUAUUUGUGAGAUUCGCUAUUUUUAAUAAAGUGAUUGUUUUAAGUGA